GGGGUCCCAUCCUGCUGAACAAAGGCGUUUUUUCCUCUUGGUCCAUUUCAAACCCUCCUGUUUCUUUCGCAUUAUCUGCUAACGCCCAUCAACAAUCACGAGUUGUAAGAGUCAUUCUCAGCAACCCCCAAAUGAUUCGAAAAGAGAGAUCUCUCUUCUCAGAUCUCAAGGAACUUACUCCAGCUAGUUAGAGAACUGAGAUGAAAGAAGAGAAAGGAGAGAUUCAGAUUGUGAGAGGGACUCCCCAUUGUUGCUGACUUCGAAGAUGGAGGAAGGAGAUGCCAAGCCCAAUGCAGGUGCCUCUUGGAGCUGGGAAUAGUCCUGAGCUGAUUAGACAGCAAACAAGUGAGGACCUCAGCCUGCAACAUCAAGGAACUGAAUUCUGCCAACCUUCCAAAUGAAUAAGAAACUUCCAGCUGGCAAGACAGUCACAGCAAAAGUCUGGCCUGGCUACAGAAUCAUGGACAUCCUUUCCAAACACAGCAUCUGAAAACACACCCCAGGCCACUGGCACUGGACUUCCCUCCCUGAAUAAGGAUCUCUUUGCAAAAAUUCAAAAUUCAAAAGAGCUCUGGAAAGCAACUUGUCAUGACUCUUCCCUUCUUCCUCUUGCUCACCAAACUGUAUUUGCCUUUCUCUCACAUGGUUGUAACCCUGACUUUCCUUGAUUAAACUGAAGGUUGCCUGAGGCAAGGGAUAAAGUCCCACCUUCUCGGAUUUCUUGCAGUCCUUAAUUCAGCAUGGUGCUCCUUGGCUUUGGGCAUGAAGCAUGGCAGGAACUUCAUGUCGUGCAGGAUCUUUUCUGUCGCAUACGGGGAGGGCAACUUUGGUAGCAUUUUACAGAAUAUAUUGAAUCAACUGGCUAACCUCCAUAGAAAUGUUAAGGCAGGGAAUGGUAGAAUUGGUAGAAAUGGUAGAAAUGACAUGGAUUUGUCUAAUUCAGCCAUUUAACUGAUUCCUGUAGCAUCUCUCUACCACUUCCAGAAAUUGGAAACCAGAUUUUAAAAUUAGAGUACUCAGCCAUAAACUUGGGUUUUACUUCUUGAUUUGUAAACUUGGAGAGGAUAGUUUCCUUCUGCAUAAAACGGGGCUAAUAACACCUAUAUCAAAAGGUAGUUGAGAAGACUAAGUGAAGCAUCAUGUGCAGAAUAGUUGGCACCUGGCACAUAAAAGGUGCUCAGAAGCAUUAAGUUUA